ensembl:lncRNA
GGGCUAAGAGCCUCGUCAGGCCUGGGCUAUGGGAGAUUUUAGAACAACGCAUAGAAUCUUUACUGUCCAAUCACAAAAGCUGCACAUUCACUUAACUUACAUACGCUUGUGAUGCGUUCUGCCGUUUUAAUAAAUACAUUUAUACUAUUUCAUCUAUCAGAGGACGAAAACUAAAAAUAAAUAAAAACAAUACGUUCAUCUAUGCAAAAACAUUUGGUUUCUAUGGCUAAUAAAAAUAAUAAUACAAAUAAAUCAUAAAAUUGGUUGCUCUGCCGGCUGGCUAACUUCUUCUCACUGAGCUAGCCAACCGAAGCCACAAACUCUACAGCUGGAAGGGCAUCAAGCUCUUUCCUCUGUUUUCACAUUAGACAUGUACUUGGAUUAUGGCUAUCCCAUGACAAUAAAAUAUUGUUGCAUGAUUUCGCCUGGAUCAGAAACGUUGAUGUCUCGUCUCUUGCACAGAAUUCUCUGUACAGGGCGCGAGAUCGCAUUUCAAAAGAGAAACAGUUUAUUCCCCCCCAGGCAGGCGGACAGCGAGGUUUAAACAAGUCAUCACUAAAAGCUUGUGUGAACCGUGAAGACAGGAUAAACUGGUCCAGGGUCAGUCUUAGCCUGGGGCUAAGAUCACUGCAGUGUGAAAAAGCUUAUAGCAUUGGAUUCAUUAACAACAAUAGCAUCUGUAAAGAAAAACAUAUAACCAGCAGAAAUGGCAUAUAUAUAUAUAUAUAUAUAUAUAAAUAAACAUCCACAACACUCACCCCUUUGAAGAACAGAGUUAGAAGGUGAAAAUGGGCAUCCCUGACGCCUAAAUUACCAACUAAAGGAAACCGUCCAUAUUUAACCAGUCAAACUGUGCGUCCCAAAUGGGACCCUAUUGGCAUUAUAGGGGAAUAGAGAAUGUGGGAAAAUAAGGAACAGGGUGCCACUAUAUAGGGCAUAGGGUGCCACUAUAUAGGGAAUAGGGUGCCACUAUAUAGGGAAUAGGGUGCCAUCAUAUAGGGAAUAGGGUGCCACUAUAUAGGGUACCAUCAUAUAGGGAAUAGGGUGCCACUAUAUAGGGAAUAGGGUGCCACUAUAUAGGGUACCAUCAUAUAGGGAAUAGGGUACCAUCAUAUAGGGAAUAGGGUGCCACUAUAUAGGGAAUAGGGUGCCACUAUAUAGGGAAUAGGGUACCAUCAUAUAGGGAAUAGGGUGCCAUCAUAUAGGGAAUAGGGUGCCAUCAUAUAGGGAAUAGGGUACCAUCAUAUAGGGAAUAGGGUGCCACUAUAUAGGGCAUAGGGUGCCACUAUAUAGGGUACCAUCAUAUAGGGAAUAGGGUGCCACUAUAUAGGGAAUAGGGUGCCACUAUAUAGGGUACCAUCAUAUAGGGAAUAGGGUGCCACUAUAUAGGGAAUAGGGUGCCACUAUAUAGGGCAUAGGGUGCAACUAUAUAGGGCAUAGGGUGCCAUCAUAUAGGGAAUAGGGUGCCACUAUAUAGGGAAUAGGGUGCCACUACAUAGGGUACCAUCAUAUAGGGAAUAGGGUGCCACUAUAUAGGGAAUAGGGUGCCAUCAUAUAGGGAAUAGGGUGCCAUCAUAUAGGGAAUAGGGUGCCACUAUAUAGGGCAUAGGGUGCCUUCAUAUAGGGAAUAGGGUGCCAUCAUAUAGGGCACCACUAUAUAGGGAAUAGGGUGCCAUCAUAUAGGGAAUAGGGUGCCAUCAUAUAGGGAAUAGGGUGCCAUCAUAUAGGGAAUAGGGUGCCAUCAUAUAGGGCAUAGGGUGCCAUCAUAUAGGGCAUAGGGUACCACUAUAUAGGGCAUAGGGUACCACUAUAUAGAGCAUAGGGUGCUAUCAUAUAGGGCAUAGCAUGCCAUCAUAUAGGGCAUAGCGUGCCAUCAUAUAGGGCAUAGGGUGCCAUCAUAUAGGGCAUAGGGUGCCAUCAUAUAGGGCAUAGGGUGCCAUCAUAUAGGGCAUAGGGUGCCAUCAUAUAGGGCAUAGGGUGCCAUCAUAUAGGGCAUAGGGUACCACCAUAUAGGGCAUAGGGUGCCAUCAUAUAGGGCAUAGGGUGCCAUCAUAUAGGGCAUAGGGUGCCAUCAUAUAGGGCAUAGGGUGCCAUCAUAUAGGGCAUAGGGUGCCACUAUAUAGGGAAUAGGGUGCCACUAUAUAGGGAACAGGGUGCCAUCAUAUAAGGAAUAGGGUGCCAUCAUAUAGGGAACAGGGUGCCAUCAUAUAGGGAACAGGGUGCCAUCAUAUAGGGAAUAGGGUGCCAUCAUAUAGGGAAUAGGGUGCCAUCAUAUAGGGAAUAGGGUGCCAUCAUAUAGGGAAUAGGGUGCCAUCAUAUAGGGAAUAGGGUGCCAUC